CAAGUCGAGGGGAAACGAUAGAGAAAGCUUGCUUUUUCUAGGCGUCGACCGGCGCACGGGUGAGUAACGCGUAUCCAACCUGCCAACACUUGGGGAUAACCUUGCGAAAGUAAGACUAAAUACCCAAUGACGUCUCUAGAAGACAUCUGAAAGAGAUUAAAGAUUUAUCGGUGAUGGAUGGGGAUGCGUCUGAUUAGCUUGUUGGCGGGGUAACGGCCCACCAAGGCGACGAUCAGUAGGGGUUCUGAGAGGAAGGUCCCCCACAUUGGAACUGAGACACGGUCCAAACUCCUACGGGAGGCAGCAGUGAGGAAUAUUGGUCAAUGGACGAGAGUCUGAACCAGCCAAGUAGCGUGCAGGAAGACGGCCCUAUGGGUUGUAAACUUCUUUUAUAUGGGAAUAAAGUUGUCCACGUGUGGAUUUUUGUAUGUACCAUAUGAAUAAGGAUCGGCUAACUCCGUG
rnacentral:rRNA from 1 species